AUCACUUCUCGGCCUUUUGGCUAAGAUCAAGUGUAGUAUCUGUUCUUAUCAGUUUUCAUGCCGAUGGCCCGAAACACUGGUAUUGGGCCGGUGGGGAUGGGUGCUGCAUGGAGGGGACAGGUGUACUGGGGCGUUCCAGGGCUGGUCCUGAGGAAUCAGCUUAACGACUGCCCCGAUGCGACCUGUU